GAGCAUCUCUUGGGACGCUGCAAUGGGGGAAACCCUGACUGACGAAAGCCGCGUCGAGGAAGAAGGCUUUACGGGUAGUAAAGUCCUUUCUGGGGUGAAGAUGAGAGUGACAUGGAAAUUACAAUAAUCGGAAGGCCAGAAGGUCGUCAGAUGCCCCGGGUAAU
rnacentral:rRNA from 1 species